GAUGAACGCUGACAGAAUGCUUACACAUCCAAGUCGACUCGAGUCUUCGGACUGGGUGGCGCACGGGUGAGUAACGCGUAAAGAACUUGCAUCUUAGACCGGGACAACAUCUGGAAACGGAUGCUAAUACCGGAUAUUAUGGUUUUUUUCGCAUGGAGGAAUCAUGAAAGCUGGAUGCGCUAAGAGAGAGCUUUGCGUCCCAUUAGCUAGUUGGUGAGGUAACGGCCCACCAAGGCAAUGAUGGGUAGCCGGCCUGAGAGGGUGAACGGCCACAAGGGGACUGAGACACGGCCCUUACUCCUACGGGAGGCAGCAGUGGGGAAUAUUGGACAAUGGACCGCAAGUCUGAUCCAGCAAUUCUGUGUGCACGAUGACGUUUUUCGGAAUGUAAAGUGCUUUCAGUCGGGAAGAAGUCAGUGACGGUACCGACAGAAGAAGCGACGGCUAAAUACGUGCCAGCAGCCGCGGUAAUACGUAUGUCGCAAGCGUUAUCCGGAUUUAUUGGGCGUAAAGCGCGUCUAGGCGGCAAGGAAAGUCUGAUGUGAAAAUGCGGAGCUCAACUCCGUAUGGCGUUGGAAACUGCCUUACUAGAGUACUGGAGAGGUAGGCGGAACUACAAGUGUAGAGGUGAAAUUCGUAGAUAUUUGUAGGAAUGCCGAUGGGGAAGCCAGCCUACUGGACAGAUACUGACGCUAAAGCGCGAAAGCGUGGGUAGCAAACAGG
rnacentral:rRNA from 1 species